rnacentral:lncRNA from 11 species
UUUUGGGCAAGUCAUACUCUCUCAGUCUCAGAUGAAGAUACUGUACUGGCAAGCCACCUUUGAACAAAGCUUGCCAAGAAAAACCUAUCACAAAUUUUCCUUAGGGUUGCUAUAGGUUGGAAGCAACUUGAAAACACACAAUAAUAACUUGCAGCUGUUGAAAGAGAUCUCUGUUCUACUCAAUGGAUCUCAGGAUGUUGUGGAAUUACAGGCUCAAGAACCUUGGCCUCCAUUAUCCAUCUUGGAGACAGUACAUCUUCUUUGAGAUAAUACAUCAAAGUGAAAAUCAGCAAAAUUUAAUAAUUCAUUUUUUCAGUGGCUCGACCUGUC